GACGAACGCUGGCGGCGUGCCUAAUACAUGCAAGUAGAACGCUGAAGGAGGAGCUUUCUUCUCUGGAUGAGUUGCGCACGGGUGAGUAACGCGUAUGUAACCUGCCUGUUAGCGGGGGAUAACUCUUGGAAACGCUAGCUAAUACCGCAUAAGAGUAGAUGUUGCAUGACAUUUGCUUAAAAGGUGCAAUUUCAUCACUACCAGUUGGACCCGCGUUGUCUUAGCUAGUUGGUGGGGUAACGGCUCACCAAGGCGACGAUACAUAGCCGACCUGAGAGGGUGAUCGGCCACACGGGAACUGAGACACGGCCAAGACUCCUACGGGAGGCAGCAGUAGGGAAUCUUCGGAAAUGGGCGAAAGCCUGACGGAGAAACGCCGCGUGAGUGAAGAAGGUUUUCGGAUCGUAAAACUCUGUUAUAAGGGAAGAACAAAUGUGGAAGUGAAAAUGCAAGUCUUGAAGGUACCUAAUCAGAAAGGGAAGGCUAACUACGUG
rnacentral:rRNA from 1 species